AUUCUCCAACACAGAUCCUGAGAGAUCCUGGUGGAAGGGGUGGUGCAAAGGAAAGGUUACCUCUUUCUGGAGGAAAGGCAGAGGAGAUCAUAUCACUACUCCAUGGCAGCCUGGUCAGUGCCAUCUCCACAGCUUGGAGAAUAGCCAGUAGCACCAUAAGAAGUUCAGUGACCUUUUCCAACCCGUAAAGGAGAAAACAGCCCACAACAGGACAGAUAGAGCACCAAUGGUUGAAGGGGGUCCUCACCCCCAAAGGAAGAAAGAAUCCUGGUCCUUGCCACAGAGCCACAGGAUGACCACUUCCUGGACUGUAGAGGAUUAUACAAAAAAUGCAGGGCUAAAAGUCAAUGCAACUCUGGUCCGAUUUUCCUGUGUGUGCUGUGAAGGUAAGGUUUAUAAAUCAUUAAACACCGUUAGACAGCAGAUAAAGGAAUGGAAAAGACACUAUCUCACUGUGAGUGAUGCUAAAUAGUUACUGUCAAAAUGAACCAGGACAGAAGAAUUUUAACCAAUCUGCACAGCUGGAAAUCUCAAAUUCAACUACACAAAUCCCAAUGCCAACAUUACUGGUACCAUCCGCUGUAAUAGUUGCAAUGUUCGAUUAUUAGCCCUUUACAAAUGACUCUGUACUGGGCUGUAUACAUAUAUUUUUUAAACUGUUAGCUUUUUUA